rnacentral:lncRNA from 1 species
CGUGGAAUGCAACACAUCACAAGUAUUGCACAACAUCCAUUUCCCCGCUAGGGUAUAUCUGUUAAAAUGCUAGCAAUCCUCUUUCCCUAGCGGGUUUUUAGAGGGUUCACGUAAACGUCCUUCCCCUCAGGGUUAGACAUGACCCAAAACUCCCUCUGUCAAUACUGGGCCCCCCAAGGAGCAUACACAGGGCUUUCCGACAUGUACUUGCCCAACUGACCUGACGCAAUGACAGGAACAUAGGCUAUUAGGGUCGCCUGGGUCCACCCAUCCUCAUCACAUAAAUCACAUAUUAUGCAAUGUCUCAUCUUCGUGCUUUCUAGUGCAAACACCCUAUAAAUAUCAUGAUGCAUGAAAUAUGCUGAAACAUUUAUUUAAAAAUGUAAAGGUUAGUUCCACUCACCUCUGGCUAAUGCUCGACUACUAGCUCUGAAACUGCAACUCAAAACCUCGGGUCCAAAUCUACACAAAUGGACACGAGUAAGGGUCUAAACUAGCUCAACAACAAUACUAGAAACUCCCCUUAAACCCCCCUAAAACAUCCUAAAACAAUCACAUAAAGCAUGCAAAGAAAGGCUG